UACGUAGGGGGCUAGCGUUGUCCGGAUUUAUUGGGCGUAAAGAGCGUGUAGGCGGCCAGGUAGGUCUGGUGUGAAAACUCGAGGCUUAACCUCGAGAUGUCAUCGGAAACCAGUUGGCUAGAGUCCGGAAGAGGAGAGUGGAAUUCCUGGUGUAGCGGUGAAAUGCGCAGAUAUCAGGAAGAACACCAAUGGCGAAAGCAGCUCUCUGGGACGGUACUGACGCUGAGACGCGAAAGCGUGGGGAGCGAACAGG
rnacentral:rRNA from 1 species